AUGCCUAACCCGACGCCGUACAACAGAUACACACUCACGCGUUUAUUGUCGCUAUUGAAAUCAACAUGCCGCUGUGGUUCAGAAGUCAAACGGAGGUCAUCCUUUAUAUCCCCCCGCAGCAAUCUGCGACCAGGGACAAGUCAGCAGAGAACCCUGCCAUUUCCACUCCUGACAACUGCCUCAAUGUUACAAGACUAUCGGGAAUGGACCCAUGAGUGGGAGUGAAUAGAGGAGCAGAGAAAGGGAAGAUUCAUUAACAGCGCUCCAUUACAUUUUUGGGAAGGAUUGAGCCUGAAGGACUGGGGUCGCAAAAAAGAAGAGAGGAGCACUUUUGGAUGCUCUUGACUAAAACUUAACCGUGUCUAUUUGGCCUCUACAAAGGCCAUUUUAGGGAAAGCUGGACUCUGACUCCACGACUUCAGAUUAGGUGGAGUGGUAGGAUUAGUCCUUAAUGACUCGGACUUUGAAGACAAAGAGAGCCUCAGCAAAGAAGCUUAGAUAUGGAAGAAUUAACAGAGCUCCACCAGUGCCCUCCUCUCUCCCUCUCAUCCUUUCUCAUCUCCUGACUCUCUGUUUGCUCUGCAGUGCAGGUAGAGGUCAUAGAGGGCACAGGGUGACUGCACAAAGCAGUGGUCUGUUUCAAAGCAGCUGUGAGCGUGUCCACUAAAUGCUACAGACCAAAGCUCCAGAAGCAUUUACAGAUGCGCCUGCACUAAUAAAUGCAAGCAGUCGAAUUCCACUGCAAGUCUCAAAAGUUGUACUGUGAAAGUCAUGUCCUUUACAUACAGUGCCCCCCAAAAGUAUUUGGACUUCAUAAAAAAAGAUGUUGAUAAAAUAAUAUAUGCUGAUCAAAUUAGGACAAAAGUAUUGUGAAACUUAGUGGCUGUCAAAUGUUAGUGGACCGGGAUGAUAGUUAAUGAUGGACACCUGUGGAUUUUAGGAGAACUGACUUCAUACAUUCACGAAAACAAACAAACAAACAAACAAAUACACCAUCUGAUCAAAAGUCACUGGCACUGGUUGCAUUUGUGUGUAUGCUACAUGGUUUGAUAUUUUAAUACAGUGGCAUUCAGACAUUUCUAAUACUUUAAGGGUUACUGUAUUCACACACAAAGAAGUUCAACAUGAUCCAAAGCCUAACAGUUAUAGCUACUUUCUGUUUUGCUCCAGAUUGGGAAAAGUUUAAAAUUCUCUGAAAUUAACAGACCCACAAGGGAAUUCGUACUUGCUGGACAUUUUGCGGAUUUGUGGAGAACUGAGAAGUUCUACAAAAUAUUUUAUAAACUAACUCAUAUUUGAGAAUGCUUUCUUGUCUUGUAAUAGUCAUGUAUUGUUAUUAAAAAAUAAAUAAAUACAAAUGUAAUCUUACUAUUGUUAGUAAAAAUGUUUAACAGACCUUAAAAACAAGAAAAAAAAAAAAAAAACUAUCAGAGAAGCAAAAUUGCAUACAAUUGCAAAAAUUGUUUUCAUAGAUUUAACAUGAAAACAUGUUAUGUGUAUUUUGUCUCCAUACAUGUUUAGAUAUUUCUCUGUUGGAAAACAAGACAAAGAUAGUCAUUAAGAAUAAGAUUUUAUGCAGUGUUUGGCACUUUCAGCUCAUUUAACAAAUUGUGUCAUGAUUCAAUCUGUUCUGCAGAACUGAGCAGAUUUUCCCCGUAAAAUGGCAAACAAAACAAAACAAAACAAAAAAACAAAACAUUGAACAAGUCAUUGUGAUAGUAAUUUACUUUAAGGAAGGUGUAAGUAUACCUUCUGAUAGUGUACCUCAUCAUUUACCACUUUAUUUCAUUUCAUCUGACUAUAGCCAAGAUUAGUUAUUGAUUACUGGGCUUUUAAAUUAUUCUAAAGCAAAAGCCAAAUAGCACAGUCAUUAUGGAUCCACUAUUGACAUGGCCAGUAUUUCAUUCCAUUUUCUAGGCCAUGAAGCCGUCAAGUGGAAAUGAUCAAAUAGUAAGAUGAAGGAUUGUUUUAUGACUUCUGCACACUGUCAUUAGCUUUUGCAUUCAGGAAAGUAAAUAAUAAAUGCAGUAAACAUCCCCCAUCUCAAGCUCUUGUGUCGGCUGUUUUGGUCUCAUCGAUAUCCUAGUGGAAUUUUAAAAUGGGUUUGCUUUCUUUUGUCAAGAUAACCAAUCAUAUUGUUGUUUUCAGUGGUGUUUUUACAGAAGACAUCUCCACCACUCCAAACCAAAAACUACAUGGGGAGCUAGAAUAACAUUUUGAGCCAAAAAACGGCAUGUGCACUUAUCAGAUUGGUUUUGCCUGCUUAAUAGGGCAAAAGGCAGCAGGGCUGGGUCAACACUGGGGGUUUAGUACCCAAAGUGGCAGAGAGCCUCGGGUGAGUUUAUCAAAGUGUAAAAUGCUUAAACCAGCAGGGCAACACAAUCCUUGGUCCUUAGCGUAUAAAUCACCAUACAUUCUUAUUUAAAUGGCUGCAGCUAAGCACUUGUUAUGAGUAAAUACAUCCGCUGGCAGUGAUUGUAUGUUCAUGGGAGAAUUAGACAGCUAAAGAAAGUGGAAAGUGACUGUGUGUGUGUGUGUGUGUGUGUGUGUGUGUGUGUGUGUGUGUGUGUGUGUGUGUGUGUGUGUGUGUGUGUGUGUGUGUGUGUGUGUGUGUGUGUGUGUGUGUGUGUAAAACAAACCACUUAGAAGAAGCAAACAAAGAUCUGGUGAACUAAAGCAUUUGAAUACAAUGCCUCUAAAGGAUUUGUCUAAACAGAAAGAAGUCUGUUCUUUUUUGUUAAAAAGCACAAAGUUAAGUUUUAAGUUAUUUUCCUAACCCCGGAUAACAGGAUUCUAGUAUGUCCACAGGAAACUGUUAACAGCUAGUAUGCCCAACAGUGCUAACUCUGCCAGAAAACGUGGCAUCUUCUUAAUUUACUUUUUAAUUAAAUACACAGCUAUCCGAACAUGAUAUAAACCCUUUACCAAGCACCAUGCAAAACCACAAAGCUGCAGGUUUUCAUCUCACACCGAGUUAGUUGUUGUUUUCAGUUGCAUCUAUCUCACAUGUGAAUGAGAAAUAAGAAAUAAGAAAAAAAAAUAGAGAAAAGUUUCAUAUUUCUUUAAACCUCAAAAGUGUUGGCAAACAGAAGAGAGGAAAAGUUGGCCCUAAUUCCAUCUCACGCUGAAGACUUUGCAUUUUUACUUAGUGGGCUCAGUUGGCUGAGGUCCUCUCGCCCGUAAAUUGGAUAUUAG
ensembl:lncRNA